UGAACCCAAAGCCUUGGACCUGGACGGAUUCUCUUGAUAAACAACCUUGGCUAAAGAAAAUGGAUAUGAUAUUCUUCUGUUGCUGCUCUAGUAGAUUUCCUUUGAAGCGCACUCUGGCAUUUCCUAUUCUUUCCCACUCUCACCUGUUUACACUCCUGGUCAAACCAGCCAUUCCUAAAGUCCCUUUUAGCUUUCCCAAUACUUUCCUCUGCUGCAAUUUUAAGAACUGUUUCCAAGUUGUUCCACUAUUUUUCAAUUGUCACUCCUUCCCUUACCUCCUGACAGAAAUCCUUAAUGAUUUACUCAUAUUCUUUCCUGGCUUGUGCCUCUUUUGGAUUGCUUAUAUUGUAUCUUAUUGUAUCUCUCUAUUCAGAACAUAUUUUGACAUACUGAUGGUUUUGACAUUAUUCUGGUAAUAAUAGCGGCAAAAAUUGGUAGGUCAAAAUGUGUUCUGAAUAAAGUGACCUUCUGAUUUUCUCCCUUAGCAGUUGAGUAGCUGUGCUGGAGUGAUCAGCCCAGCCCAGCCUUUCAUGAAGAUUCUCAGUCAGUAAAUCACACUAUGUUGUUCUCAACAGUGUCAAGUUUCAUUUAUAAUGGCAGGAUGAACUUUUACAGGAUAGAAAGGAGCUUCAUUUCUAUCUAGUUUGGUGUUUUCAUUUUCAGUAAGGGAGUGUGACCAGCAAAGAGCUAAGUGGCUGCCUAAGUCUUUUUUUGAACACGGGUUAAUGAGCCUAUGUUUUGUGAUCCUUGACAACGUCAGAAGCUGGGGAUGGACAUCCCAGGGCCACCCCCGUCAAUGUGCGUAUUCUAGCAAGUCCCAGCAAGCAUGGAACUGUACCUUCUGGCAGUUCAGGAAUGAUUGGCAAGCUUGGGGCACCUCGCCAUGAACACAGACAUCUGUGCCCUAUGUUCCCUGACACAGUGCAAGUCACACAGGCUCUCACAAGGUAACCUCAGCCAUCUGCAAAAGUUUUGUUGAAUGGAAGCGCAAUACUUCUCAAAUUGCUGAGAAGAAAUUCAUCUGGAGGAUUGCACUGACAAUGAAUGGACUGAAAAUGAAGAUUUGGCAAGAAAGAGUUGGAACUCGACACAAAGCAGUCUGCAGUGAGCCCCGUGCAAGAAGAAAGGAGAAGGUCAAUCUGUGAGCUCGGCACUAGAGAAGAGGAGAUAUUCAUCCAUUUUUUCAUUAGUGAAUGUUGUCUUUGCAACUGGGUAAGGAGUAUGGUUUGCUGACCAGACAGUGGUGAGGAUUAAGAGGAACAUCCCGCUCUCCUCCUCCAAGGUCGAAGAGUAAGGUGAGCAAGCAGGAAGGAGAGUAGAGCUUAGUCUGCUUGCUUCCAUGCCUUCCUCUUCAGCCCUGAAAAUGAUGGCACCAUCUCUGUACCUUUGAUAAACUUCUACAAGACUACGUGGCAUCACAUUCCAGAAAGCAAUAUAUAUAUAAAUGGGGGGUAGGGGGUUCCGGCAAAGGUGAGUAAAUGAAAGAGAACCA